AAGUGAGGGUUGCUUACCAUCAGAGCAAUCCCUCUUGUCUUAAACUGAGGAACUUUAAUGAAAUUCCUAUUAACUGAGGAACUUUAAUGAAAUUUUUAUUAUUAAGUAUUGUUCAUUCGAUCUUUAUGGUUAAGUUCUUAAGCGUUUGGUGAACCUAAAAGCAGAAAUAUUGUAUUAAUCUUACAUUAUCUGUAGAAAUGCUUGC
rnacentral:lncRNA from 1 species